GCUAUACAUGCAAGUCGAGCGGACUUGUAGGAGCUUGCUCCUGCAGGUUAGCGGCGGACGGGUGAGUAACACGUGGGCAACCUACCUGUAAGACUGGGAUAACUUCGGGAAACCGGAGCUAAUACCGGAUGACAUAAAGGAACUCCUGUUCCUUUAUUGAAAGAUGGCUUCGGCUAUCACUUACAGAUGGGCCCGCGGCGCAUUAGCUAGUUGGUGAGGUAACGGCUCACCAAGGCGACGAUGCGUAGCCGACCUGAGAGGGUGAUCGGCCACACUGGGACUGAGACACGGCCCAGACUCCUACGGGAGGCAGCAGUAGGGAAUCUUCCGCAAUGGACGAAAGUCUGACGGAGCAACGCCGCGUGAACGAUGAAGGCCUUCGGGUCGUAAAGUUCUGUUGUUAGGGAAGAACAAGUGCUAGUUGAAUAAGCUGGCACCUUGACGGUACCUAACCAGAAAGCCACGGCUAACUACGUGCCAGCAGCCGCGGUAAUACGUAGGUGGCAAGCGUUGUCCGGAAUUAUUGGGCGUAAAGCGCGCGCAGGCGGUUUCUUAAGUCUGAUGUGAAAGCCCCCGGCUCAACCGGGGAGGGUCAUUGGAAACUGGGAAACUUGAGUGCAGAAGAGGAAAGUGGAAUUCCAAGUGUAGCGGUGAAAUGCGUAGAGAUUUGGAGGAACACCAGUGGCGAAGGCGACUUUCUGGUCUGUAACUGACGCUGAGGCGCGAAAG
rnacentral:rRNA from 2 species